GUAGUCAUAUGCUUGUCUCAAAGAUUAAGCCAUGCAUGUCUAAGUAUAAGCAAUCUAUACAGUGAAACUGCGAAUGGCUCAUUAAAUCAGUUAUCGUUUAUUUGAUAGUACUUUACUACUUGGAUAACCGUGGUAAUUCUAGAGCUAAUACAUGCUAAAAAUCCCAACCUCUGGAAGGGAUGUAUUUAUUAGAUAAAAAACCAAUGCCUUCGGGCUUUUUGGUGAUUCAUGAUAACUCAACGAAUCGCAUGGCCUUGCGCCGGCGAUGGUUCAUUCAAAUUUCUGCCCUAUCAACUUUCGAUGGUAGGAUAUAGGCCUACCAUGGUUUCAACGGGUAACGGGGAAU
rnacentral:rRNA from 1 species